AACUGGGGGAAAUACACUUUGAAAUGGUGUAAUUGCUGUAGUUGCUGCAUUUGUUGGAGCACAGAAUUAAGUAUGAAGCACCAGGUCACCAUCUUCAUGUAGUCAGUGAUGAUUAAGAAUUUAUUACAAUUACAUUAACUCUUAAUUUCAGAAAAAAACUUGCUAUUUGGCCAUUUCUGCUGCCACUAAAACUCUCAGAUUUCACUCAAGGGGAACCCCAUGGCUAUAGAACAAAGAUUAUCCUAAAUCCAAAGGAAGACCAAAGAGACUGUUUGGAAGAAAGGCAAAUCAAAGAAAUUGUGAAGAAGCAUUCUCAAUUCAUCAGCUGUCCAAUUACACUCUUUAUACUGCAGCACAGCAGAAUUAUGAAGGUGACAAGUGGAUUAAUAACAUUCUUCAGAGUUUCCUUGACCAUCACAAGGAAAGAAGAUGUAAGUUUUGCAAGAAAUUUUCCAGAAUAUGAGGUGUUCUACCUGGACACCUCUUUCAAGGAGGGCCUUACCAGAUUGCUCCAUCAGCAAGGAUGAGCCAGGAGCCAAGGGUAAAAUCAAGGCAGGCCCAAGCAGGCAGCAUACUGAUAAGGGUCAUAAUCCCACAGUACCUGAACAAGAAGAGAACUGGUGCAGUGAUGUUGCACCCAAUAGGUCAAUGAUCACCAAACGCAUCUGUAAUAAUGAG